rnacentral:lncRNA from 1 species
GCUGGGGGGUCUUGGGACCCCGACCUUCGGGGGCUGUUUUUUGGGCGCGGCUGUGCCCGUGGCCUAUUUUUGGCACACGGAGGCCGCCCACCAAGUCUGGUGCCAUUCCGAGUCCCGCGGACGAACUUCGCCCACGCCCCCCACCAAGGCUAUAGCCCACCUAUUUUUUGGCCAUUUUUCCGCUGGGGGGUCUUGGGACCCCGACCUUCGGGGGCUGUUUUUUGGGCGCGGCAGUGCUCGUGGCCUAUUUUUGGCACACGGAGGCCGCCCUCCAAGUCUGCUGCCAUUCCGAGUCCCGCGGACGAACUUCGCCCACGCCCCCCACCAAGGCUAUAGCCCACCUAUUUUUUGGCCAUUUUUCCGCUGGGGGGUCUUGGGACCCCGAACUUCGAGGGCUGUUUUUUGGGUGCGGCUGUGCCCGUGGCCUAUUUUUGGCACACGGAGGCCGCCCGCCAAGUCUGGUGCCAUUCCGAGUCCCGCGGACGAACUUCGCCCACGCCCCCCACCAAGGCUAUAGCCCACCCGUUUUUUGGCCAUUUUUCCGCUGGGGGGUCUUGGGACCCCGACCUUCGGGGGCUGUUUUUUGGGCGCGGCUGUGCCCGUGGCCUAUUUUUGGCACACGGAGGCCGCCCGCCAAGUCUGGUGCCAUUCCGAGUCCCGCGGACGAACUUCGCCCACGCCCCCCACCAAGGCUAUAGCCCACCCGUUUUUUGGCCAUUUUUCCGCUGGCGGGUCUUGGGACCCCGGCCUUCGGGGGCUGUUUUUUGGGCGCGGCAGUGCCCGUGGCCUAUUUUUGGCACACGGAGGCCGCCCGCCAAGUCUGGUGCCAUUCCGAGUCCCGCGGACGAACUUCGCCCACGGCCCCCACCAAGGCUAUAGGCCACCCGUUUUUUGGCCAAUUUUCCGCUGGGGGGUCUUGGGACCCCGACCUUCGGGGGCUGUUUUUUGGGCGCGGCUGUGCCCGUGGCCUAUUUUUGGCACACGGAGGCCGCCCGCCAAGUCUGGUGCCAUUCCGAGUCCCGCGGACGAACUUCGCCCACGCCCCCCACCAAGGCUAUAGCCCACCCGUUUUUUGGUCAUUUUUCCGCUGGGGGGUCUUGGGACCCCGACCUUCGGGGGCUGUUUUUUGGGCGCGGCUGUGCCCGUGGCCUAUUUUUGGCACACGGAGGCCGCCCGCCAAGUCUGGUGCCAUUCCGAGUCCCGCGGACAAACUUCGCCCACGACCCCCACCAAGGCUAUAGGCCACCCGUUUUUUGGCCAUUUUUCCGCUGGGGGGGUCUUGGGACCCCGACCUUCGGGGGCUGUUUUUUGGACGCGGCUGUGCCCGUGGCCUAUUUUUGGCACACGGAGGCCGCCCGCCAAGUCUGGUGCCAUUCCGAGUCCCGCGGACGAACUUCGCCCACGGCCCCCACCAAGGCUAUAGGCCACCCGUUUUUUGGCCAAUUUUCCGCUGGGGGGUCUUGGGACCCCGACCUUCGGGGGCUGUUUUUUGGGCGCGGCUGUGCCCGUGGCCUAUUUUUGGCACACGGAGGCCGCCCGCCAAGUCUGGUGCCAUUCCGAGUCCCGCGGACGAACUUCGCCCACGCCCCCCACCAAGGCUAUAGCCCACCCGUUUUUUGGUCAUUUUUCCGCUGGGGGGUCUUGGGACCCCGACCUUCGGGGGCUGUUUUUUGGGCGCGGCUGUGCCCGUGGCCUAUUUUUGGCACACGGAGGCCGCCCGCCAAGUCUGGUGCCAUUCCGAGUCCCGCGGACGAACUUCGCCCACGGCCCCCACCAAGGCUAUAGCCCACCCGUUUUUUGGCCAUUUUUCCGCUGGGGGGUCUUGGGACCCCGACCUUCGGGGGCUGUUUUUUGGGCGCGGCUGUGCCCGUGGCCUAUUUUUGGCACACGGAGGCCGCCCGCCAAGUCUGGUGCCAUUCCGAGUCCCGCGGACGAACUUCGCCCACGCCCCCCACCAAGGCUAUAGCCCACCCGUUUUUUGGUCAUUUUUCCGCUGGGGGUCUUGGGACCCCGACCUUCGGGGGCUGUUUUUUGGGCGCGGCUGUGCCCGUGGCCUAUUUUUGGCACACGGAGGCCGCCCGCCAAGUCUGGUGCCAUUCCGAGUCCCGCGGACGAACUUCGCCCACGCCCCCCACCAAGGCUAUAGCCCACCCGUUUUUUGGCCAUUUUUCCGCUGGGGGGUCUUGGGACCCCGACCUUCGGGGGCUGUUUUUUGGGCGCGGCUGUGCCCGUGGCCUAUUUUUGGCACACGGAGGCCGCCCGCCACGUCUGGUGCCAUUCCGAGUCCCGCGGACGAACUUCGCCCACGGCCCCGACCAAGGCUAUAGCCCACCCGUUUUUUGGCCAUUUUUCCGCUGGGGGGUCUUGGGACCCCGACCUUCGGGGGCUGUUUUUUGGGCGCGGCUGUGCCCGUGGCCUAUUUUUGGCACACGGAGGCCGCCCGCCAAGUCUGGUGCCAUUCCGAGUCCCGCGGACGAACUUCGCCCACGGCCCCCACCAAGGCUAUAGCCCACCCGUUUUUUGGCCAUUUUUCCGCUGGGGGGUCUUGGGACCCCGACCUUCGGGGGCUGGUUUUUGGGCGCGGCUGUGCCCGUGGCCUAUUUUUGGCACACGGAGGCUGCCCGCCAAGUCUGGUGCCAUUCCGAGUCCCGCGGACGAACCUCGCCCACGCCCCCCACCAAGGCUAUAGCCCACCCGUUUUUUGGCCAUUUUUCCGCUGGGGGGUCUUGGGACCCCGACCUUCGGGGGCUGAUUUUUGGGCGCGGCUGUGCCCGUGGCCUAUUUUUGGCACACAGAGGCCGCCCGCCAAGUAUGGUGCCAUUCCGAGUCCCGCGGACGAACUUUGCCCACGCCCCCCACCAAGGCUAUAGCCCACCCGUUUUUUGGCCAUUUUUCCGCUGGGGGGUCUUGGGACCCCGACCUUCGGGGGCUGAUUUUUGGGCGCGGCUGUGCCCGUGGCCUAUUUUUGGCACACGGAGGCCGCCCGCCAAGUCAGGGGCCAUUCCGAGUCCCGCGGACGAAGUUCGCCCACGCCCCCCACCAAGGCUAUAGCCCACCCGUUUUUUGGCCAUUUUUCCACUGGGGGGUCUUGGGACCCCGACCUUCGGGGGCUGAUUUUUGUGCGCGGCUGUGCCCGUGGCCUAUUUUUGGCACACAGAGGCCGCCCGCCAAGUAUGGUGCCAUUCCGAGUCCCGCAGACGAACUUCGCCCACGCACCCCACCAAGGCUAUAGCCCACCCGUUUUUUGGCCAUUUUUCCGCUGGGGGGUCUUGGGACCCCGACCUUCGGGGGCUGAUUUUUGGGCGCGGCUGUGCCCGUGGCCUAUUUUUGGCACACAAAGGCCGCCCGCCAACUAUGGUGCCAUUCCGAGUCCCGCGGACGAACUUCGCCCACGCCCCUCACCAAGGCUAUAGCCCACCCGUUUUUUGGCCAUUUUUCCGCUGGGGGGUCUUGGGACCCCGACCUUCGGGGGCUGAUUUUUGGGCGCGGCUGUGCCCUUGGCCUAUUUUUGGCACACGGAGGCCGCCCGCCAAGUCAGGGGCCAUUCCGAGUCCCGCGGACGAAGUUCGCCCACGCCCCCCACCAAGGCUAUAGCCCACCCGUUUUUUGGCCAUUUUUCCACUGGGGCGGCUUGGGACCCCGACCUUCCGGGGCUGAUUAUUGUGCGCGGCUGUACCCGUGGCUAUUUUUGGCACACAGAGGCCGCCCGCCAAGUAUGGUGCCAUUCCGAGUCCCGCGGACGAACUUCGCCCACGCCCCCCAUCAAGGCUAUAGCCCACCCGUUUUUUGGCCAUUUUUCCGCUGGGGGGUCUUGGGACCCCGACCUUCGGGGGCUGAUUUUUGGACGCGGCUGUGCCCGUGGCCUAUUUUUGGCACACAGAGGCCGCCCGCCAAGUAUGGUGCCAUUCUAAGUCCCGCGGACGAACUUCGCCCACGCCGCCCACCAAGGCUAUAGCCCACCCGUUUUGUGGCCAUUUUUCCGCUGGGGGGUCUUGGGACCCCGACCUUCGGGGGCUGAUUUUUGGGCGCGGCUGUGCCCGUGGCCUAUUUUUGGCACACGGAGGCCGCCCGCCAAGUCAGGGGCCAUUCCGAGUCCCGCGGACGAAGUUCGCCCACGCCCCCCACCAAGGCUAUAGCCCACCCGUUUUUUGGCCAUUUUUCCACUGGGGGGUCUUGGGACCCCGACCUUCGGGGGCUGAUUUUUGGGCGCGGCUGUGCCCGUGGCCUAUUUUUGGCACACGGAGGCCGCCCGCCAAGUAUGGUGCCAUUCCGAGUCCCGCGGACGAACUUCGCCCACGCCCCCCACCAAGGCUAUAGCCCACCCGUUUUUUGGCCAUUUUUCCGCUGGGGGGUCUUGGGACCCCGACCUUCGGGGGCUGAUUUUUGGGCGCGGCUGUGCCCGUGGCCUAUUGUUGGCACACAGAGGCGGCCCGCCAAGUAUGGUGCCAUUCCGAGUCCCGCGGACGAAGUUCGCCCACGCCCCCCACCAAGGCUAUAGCCCACCCGUUUUUUGGCCAUUUUUCCGCUGGGGGGUCUUGGGACCCCGACCUUCGGGGGCUGAUUUUUGGGCGCGGCUGUGCCCGUGGCCUAUUUUUGGCACACGGAGGCCACCCGCCAGGUCUGAGGCCAUUCCGAGUCCCGCGGACGAACUUCGCCCACGCCCCCCACCAAGGCUAUAGCCCACCCUUUUUUUGGCCAUUUUUCCGCUGGGGGGUCUGGGGACCCCACCUUCGCGGCUGUGCCCGUGGCCUAUUUUUGGCACACAGAGGCCGCCCGCCAAGUAUGGUGCCAUUCCGAGUCCCGCGGACGAACUUCGCCCACGCCGCCCACCAAGGCUAUAGCCCACCUGUUUUUUGGCCAUUUUUCCGCUGGGGGGUCUUGGGACCCCGACCUUCGGGGGCUGAUUUUUGGGCGCGGCUGUGCCCGUGGCCUAUUUUUGGCACACGGAGGCCGCCCGCCAAGUCAGGGGCCAUUCCGAGUCCCGCGGACGAAGUUCGCCCACGCCCCCCACCAAGGCCAUAGCCCACCCGUUUUUUGGCCAUUUUUCCGCUGGGGGGUCUUGGGACCCCGACCUUCGGGGGCUGAUUUUUGGGCGCGGCUGUGCCCGGGGCCUAUUUUUGGCACACGGAGGCCGCCCGCCAAGUCAGGGGCCAUUCCGAGUCCCGCGGACGAAGUUAGCCCACGCCCCCCACCAAGGCUAUAGCCCACCCGUUUUUUGGCCAUUUUUCCGCUGGGGGGUCUUGGGACCCCGACCUUCGUGGGCUGAUUUUUGGGCGCGGCUGUGCCCGUGGCCUAUUUUUGGCACACAGAGGCCGCCCGCCAAGUAUGGUGCCAUUCCGAGUCCCGCGGACGAACUUCGCCCACGCCGCCCACCAAGGCUAUAGCCCACCCGUUUUUUGGCCAUUUUUCCGCUGGGGGGUCUUGGGACCCCGACCUUCGGGGGCUGAUUUUUGGGCGCGGCUGUGCCCGUGGCCUAUUUUUGGCACACGGAGGCCGCCCGCCAAGUCAGGGGCCAUUCCGAGUCCCGCGGACGAAGUUCGCCCACGCCCCCCACCAAGGCUAUAGCCCACCCGUUUUUUGGCCAUUUUUCCGCUGGGGGGUCUUGGGACCCCGACCUUCGGGGGCUGAGUUUUGGGCGCGGCUGUGCCCGUGGCCUAUUUUUGGCACACAGAGGCCGCCCGCCAAGUAUGGUGCCAUUCCGAGUCCCGCGGACGAUUUUCGCCCACGCCGCCCACCAAGGCUAUAGCCCACCCGUUUUUUGGCCAUUUUUCCACUGGGGGGUCUUGGGACCCCGACCUUCGGGGGCUGAUUUUUGUGCGCGGCUGUGCCCGUGGACUUUUUUUGGCACACAGAGGCCGCCCGCCAAGUAUGGUGCCAUUCCGAGUCCCGCGGAUGAACUUCGCCCACGCCCCUCACCAAGGCUAUAGCCCACCCGUUUUUUGGCCAUUUUUCCGCUGGGGGGUCUUGGGACCCCGACCUUCGGGGGCUGAUUUUUGGGCGCGGCUGUGCCCUUGGCCUAUUUUUGGCACACGGAGGCCGCCCGCCAAGUCAGGGGCCAUUCCGAGUCCCGCGGACGAAGUUCGCCCACGCCCCCCACCAAGGCUAUAGCCCACCCGUUUUUUGGCCAUUUUUCCACUGGGGCGGCUUGGGACCCCGACCUUCCGGGGCUGAUUAUUGUGCGCGGCUGUACCCGUGGCUAUUUUUGGCACACAGAGGCCGCCCGCCAAGUAUGGUGCCAUUCCGAGUCCCGCGGACGAACUUCGCCCACGCCCCCCAUCAAGGCUAUAGCCCACCCGUUUUUUGGCCAUUUUUCCGCUGGGGGGUCUUGGGACCCCGACCUUCGGGGGCUGAUUUUUGGGCGCGGCUGUGCCCGUGGCCUAUUUUUGGCACACGGAGGCCGCCCGCCAAGUAUGGUGCCAUUCCGAGUCCCGCGGACGAACUUCGCCCACGCCCCCCACCAAGGCUAUAGCCCACCCGUUUUUUGGCCAUUUUUCCUGCUGGGGGGUCUUGGGACCCCGACCUUCGGGGGCUGAUUUUUGGGCGCGGCCUGUGCCCGUGGCCUAUUUUUGGCACACNNNNNNNNNNNNNNNNNNNNNNNNNNNNNNNNNNNNNNNNNNNNNNNNNNNNNNNNNNNNNNNNNNNNNNNNNNNNNNNNNNNNNNNNNNNNNNNNNNNNNNNNNNNNNNNNNNNNNNNNNNNNNNNNNNNNNNNNNNNNNNNNNNNNNNNNNNNNNNNNNNNNNNNNNNNNNNNNNNNNNNNNNNNNNNNNNNNNNNNNNNNNNNNNNNNNNNNNNNNNNNNNNNNNNNNNNNNNNNNNNNNNNNNNNNNNNNNNNNNNNNNNNNNNNNNNNNNNNNNNNNNNNNNNNNNNNNNNNNGGGACCCCGACCUUCGGGGGGUGGAUUUUGGGCGCAGGCUGUGCCCGUGGCCUAUUUUUGGCACACGGAGGCCGCCCGCCAAGUCAGGGGCCAUUCCGAGUCCCGCGGACGAAAUUCGCCCACGCCCCCCACCAAGGCUAUAGCCCACCCGUUUGUUGGCCAUUUUUCCGCUGGGGGGUCUUGGGACCCCGACCUUCGGGGGCAGAUUUUUGGGCGCGGCUGUGCCCGUGGCCUAUUUUUGGCACACAGAGGCCGCCCGCCAAGUAUGGUGCCAUUCCGAGUCCCGCGGACGAACUUCGCCCAC